CAGAGAGAGGAAGGGUGAGUUUACUGUGAAAUUGGAGGGGACGAGAGGAAGGACAAAAAUAUGAGAAUAAAAUUCUAGAAAAUAGAAAACGUUCGGUUUUUGACGUUUGAAUUUUGGGAACUUGUCAAGGAGUCGGUGGGUCCUGUGGCGUCCUGAGCCAAUCAUAAGCUGAGCAGUAGGAAAUGGCUGCCUGGAGCAGAGAGGCUGCUAGUGUGGAGCCAUCAUUGUGAUCGGAAGUUGAAAAUGGGCACAUGGACAAUUUGAGUUCUAGAGGUCUCGACAUUAUUUUUAUGAUAUUACUGAACCCAUGCUAUGAUCUGACUAGUUUAGGUUGUGGUUACUCACUGGGCAUCAAGCUCAUCCCCAAAUAUAUUAUCAGUGUUUUACAGGUCUAACGGCGGUGGAUCGUGGCAUUUUAUCAGGAUUUUUACUUGUCCAAUCGAAUUUGUAAUUUUCUGAGUAUUCCUAAUUUGUACGAAAAUACAUCUGUAUUUAUCUAAUUCAUCGCGUAAAAUCUUUGCAGAUUUUACACUCCGGAUGUACUUCCAGUAUUUGGCCCUGCGAUCCCAGCAUAUGGUAGCAUCGGCAUGUGGUGAUCUGGCUUUGCACUUCUUACGGUGAAUAGGAUAUAAGCCUAAUAGUAACUAGUUGUCGACCGCCCAGGUGGGGACCGUGAUUAAUUAAAUCAAUACGCUUUGCAUUUAAUCUGUACUACUUCAAAAAGAAGAGGCAAACUUUUUGGUCUAACAUUUGUUUUCCAAAAAAGCCCAUAAUGCAUGAAGUUUAAUUAAACUGAGCCGUUGGAUUAGAGGAUUAAAUGGUAAAUUCAAUUGACUUCCA